AUCCUGGCUCAGGAUGAACGCUGGCGGCGUGCUUAACACAUGCAAGUCGAACGGACCCAUAUUGAAACCUAGUGAUAUAUGGGUUAGUGGCGGACGGGUGAGUAACGCGUGGGCAACCUGCCUUACACAGGGGGAUAACACUUAGAAAUAGGUGCUAAAACCGCAUAAGCGCACAGCUUCGCAUGAAGCGGUGUGAAAAACUCCGGUGGUGUAAGAUGGACCCGCGUCUGAUUAGCUUGUUGGCGGGGUAACGGCCCACCAAGGCGACGAUCAGUAGCCGGCCUGAGAGGGCGGACGGCCACAUUGGGACUGAGACACGGCCCAGACUCCUACGGGAGGCAGCAGUGGGGAAUAUUGCACAAUGGGGGAAACCCUGAUGCAGCGACGCCGCGUGAGUGAAGAAGUAAUUCGUUACGUAAAGCUCUAUUAGCAGGGAAGAAAAUGACGGUACCUGAGUAAGAAGCCCCGGCUAACUACGUG
rnacentral:rRNA from 1 species